rnacentral:lncRNA from 1 species
GACAGACACUUAAAAGUGAGAGGAGACCCACGUUUUAAGCAGGCUCCUUUUUGUGCUGGGGAGGAGGACACAGAUGCUGCCUGGAUGUACUGGUGGACAGUUCACACCUGCCUCACUGAUUACUGUCUGGGGGAUUAUCCUAACCCUGCUCCAGUGGUCUUCGGUGCUGUUUUGAACUCAGGAUGGAGUUGAAGAAAAUUAGGAAGGUGAGAAGGGGAGGUG